AUGGGGAGGUCCCCGUGCUGCGAGAAGGCGCACACCAACAAGGGCGCCUGGACCAAGGAGGAGGACCAGCGCCUCAUCGCCUACAUCAAGGCCCAUGGCGAGGGCUGCUGGAGGUCCCUCCCCAAAGCCGCAGGGCUGCUGCGGUGCGGGAAGAGCUGCAGGCUGCGGUGGAUCAACUACCUGAGGCCGGACCUCAAACGGGGCAACUUCACCGAGGAGGAGGACGAGCUCAUCAUCAAGCUCCACGAGCUGCUCGGCAACAAGUGGUCGCUCAUCGCCGGGAGGCUGCCGGGGAGGACGGACAACGAGAUCAAGAACUACUGGAACACGCACAUCAAGCGCAAGCUCCUGGCCCGCGGCAUGGACCCGCACACCCACCGCCCGCUUAAUGCCAUCGCGGGGGCCGCCAUGCCGGCGCAGCAGCUCCGGGUCGCGCACCAACACCAGUACGCGGCUGCCACACCCGGUGGCCACCACCUCCAGCCGCAGCAGCAGGAUCCCUUCGCGGCUCUCUCCAGCUCAGCCGAGCCCGCCUGCAGCCACAGCAGCGACGACGAGCCGGCCGGCUCCGCCACGCCGCCGCCACCGUCGCGACGGCACCUCGGCAUCGACCUCAACCUCUCCAUCAGCCUUGCACCCUACCAGCCGGACGACCCAGCGGUGAAACAGGAGGCAGCAACGACGGCGAGCCACAACAAUGCAACAACGUCCACGUCGGCGGCGUGCAUGUGCUUGAACCGCCUCGGGUUCCAGGGCGCCGGCGAGGGAUGCCGCUGCGGCGGCGCUUCCUCCGUGCCCAUGCAGCAGCAGGCCAGCACGCAGCACAUGUUCAGAUUCAUCGCGCCGCUAGAGGGCGGACGCCAAUAG
rnacentral:rRNA from 1 species